rnacentral:rRNA from 1 species
UACGUAGGCAGCGAGCGUUGUUCGGAGUUACUGGGCGUAAAGCGUGCGUAGGCGGUCUUGUAAGUUUGGUGUGAAAUCUCCCGGCUCAACUGGGAGGGUGCGCCGAAAACUGCAAGGCUGGAGUAUGGGAGAGGUAGGCGGAAUUCCUGGUGUAGCGGUGAAAUGCGUAGAUAUCCGGAGGAACACCUGUGGUGUAGACGGCUUACUGGACCAUGACUGACGCUGAGGCACGAAAGCGUGGGGAGCAAACAGG